ensembl:lncRNA
CUUCUCUCUGUACUGUACUUUAAGUAAGUGUGUGGUGGACCACGUCCAAGGUGAACGCCCUCAACAGGAGUUUGGAGGAGUUUAGCACCAUUGACAGCAACCCUUUCAAACCAGAGCCGGAAAACCCUUUGGAGGAAUUAUACCUCGGACCGUGAAGAAUUGGCAAGUUGGAUUUUCUCCUGCUCCAACGUGACCCGCCCUGGUUUGAAACAAUUCCCUUAUUGUUUAACCUGAGUGUGGUGGCCUGUUUUCAUGCUGAAAUGUGCCUCGCUAGUUUAAGGCUGCGAUUGUUCUGUUGUACUUUGCGUGCAGCCAAAUGUUUAAAAUGUGGUUCUGCUCCCAGAUAAACAAAAACAAACAAA